rnacentral:rRNA from 1 species
AGAGUUUGAUCCUGGCUCAGAUUGAACGCUGGCGGCAUGCCUAAUAUAUGUAAGUCGAAUGCGAAAGUCACUUCGGUGGCGAGUAGAGUGGUGGAUGGGUGAGUAAUGCAUGGGAAUCUACCCAACAGUGGGGGACAACCCGAGGAAACUCGGGCUAAUACCGCAUACGACCUACGGGUGAAAGGGGGCUUCGGCUCUCGCUGAUGGAUGAGUCCAUGUCCGAUUAGCUAGUUGGUGAGGUAAAGGCUCACCAAGGCGAUGAUCGGUAGCUGGUCUGAGAGGAUGGCCAGCCACACUGGGACUGAGAUAUGGUUUAGAUUUUUAUGGGAGGCAGCAGUGGGGAAUAUUGGAUAAUGGGCGAAAGCCUGAUCCAGCAAUGCCGCGUGUGUGAAGAAGGCCUGCGGGUUGUAAAGCACUUUUAGUGGGGAAGAAAAGUUUGUGGUUAAUAUCUAUGGGUUUUGAUGUUAUUUACAGAAGAAGCACCGGCUAACUCCGUGCUAGUAGCUGUGGUAAUAUGGAGGGUGCAAGCGUUAAUCGGAAUCACUGGGCGUAAAGCGCACGUAGGUGGUUAAGUAAGUCAGAUGUGAAAUCCCCGGGUUCAACCUGGGAACUGCAUUUGAAACUGCUUGGCUAGAGUCCGAUAGAGGGGGGUGGAAUUCCAGGUGUAGCGGUGAAAUGCGUAGAUAUCUGGAGGAAUAUUAGUGGUGAAGGUGACCCCCUGGAUCGAGACUGACGCUGAGGUGCGAAAGCGUGGGGAGCAAACAGGAUUAGAUAUCCUGGUAGUCCACGCUGUAAACGAUGUCAACUAGCCGUUGGGUCCAUUUAAGGGCUUAGUGGCGCAGCUAACGCGAUAAGUUGACCGCCUGGGGAGUACGGCCGCAAGGUUAAAACUCAAAGGAAUUGAUGGGGGCCCGUACAAGCGGUGGAGCAUGUGGUUUAAUUCGAUGCAAUGUGAAGAAUUUUACCAGCCCUUGACAUCCUCGGAAUCUAGUGGAGAUGUUGGAGUGCCUUCGGGAGCCGAGUGACAGGUGCUGCAUGGCUGUCGUCAGCUCGUGUUGUGAGAUGUUGGGUUAAGUUUUGUAACGAGCGCAACCCUUGUCCUUAGUUGCCAGCGAGUCAUGUCGGGAACUCUAAGGAGACUGCCGGUGAUAAACCGGAGGAAGGUGGGGAUGACGUCAAGUCAUCAUGGCCCUUAUGGGCUGGGCUACACACGUGCUACAAUGGCCGGUAUAGAGAGUUGCGAAGCGGUGACGUGGAGCCAAUCUCAGAAAACCGGUCGUAGUCCGGAUCGCAGUCUGCAACUUGACUGCGUGAAGUCGGAAUCGCUAGUAAUCGCGAGUCAGAAUGUUGUGGUGAAUAUGUUUUUGGGUCUUGUACACAU